UACGGAGGAUCCAAGCGUUAUCCGGAUUUAUUGGGUUUAAAGGGUGCGUAGGCGGCUAUUUAAGUCAGUGGUGAAAUCCUGCAGCUCAACUGUAGAACAGCCAUUGAAACUGAAUAGCUUGAGUAAUCUUGAGGUAGGCGGAAUGUGUAGUGUAGCGGUGAAAUGCUUAGAUAUUACACAGAACACCGAUUGCGAAGGCAGCUUACUAAGGAUUUACUGACGCUGAUGCACGAAAGCGUGGGGAUCAAACAGG
rnacentral:rRNA from 1 species